rnacentral:rRNA from 1 species
CCGGUGACAAACCGGAGGAAGGUGGGAUGACGUCAAGUCCUCAUGGCCCUUAUAGUGGGGCUACACACGUCAUACAAUGGCCGGUACAGAGGGUAGCCAACCCGCGAGGGGAGCCAAUCCCACAAAGCCGGUCGUAGUCCGGAUCGCAGUCUGCAACUCGACUGCGUGAAGUCGGAAUCGCUAGUAAUCGCGGAUCAGCAUGUCGCGGUGAAUACGUUCCCGGGUCCUU